rnacentral:rRNA from 1 species
GAUGAACGCUGGCGGCGUGCCUAAUACAUGCAAGUCGAGCGAACAGAUGAGGAGCUUGCUCCUCUGACGUUAGCGGCGGACGGGUGAGUAACACGUGGAUAACCUACCUAUAAUACUGGGAUAACUUCGGGAAACCGGAGCUAAUACCGGAUAAUAUAUUGAACCGCAUGGUUCAAUAGUGAAAGACGGCUUUGCUGUCACUUAUAGAUGGAUCUGCGCCGCAUUAGCUAGUUGGUAAGGUAACGGCUUACCAAGGCAACGAUGCGUAGACGACUUGAGAGGAUGAUGGGCCACCCGAGAACCUAAGCCAGGUCCAGCCUUCUACGAGAGGCAGCAGUCGGGGAUUUGCUGAAAUGGACGAAACCCUGACGGAGCAACAGCGCGUGAGAGAUGAAGGUGCACGGUUCGGGAAACUCUCUUUUGAGGGAAAAACAAAUUGGUAAGUAAAUAAGCAGGUAUUGACGGUACCGAAUCAGAAAGCCACGGCUAACUACGUG